CGCGCCGUUGGGCGGUAGAGUCAGAGCGGGGAAAAAGGGCGGCUGGUGACCCAGCACCGCGCUCAUGGCGAAGUCCGGCGCCCGGUGAGGAGGCGUCUGCAGUUGCGCUAGACCGGCUUGAACUGCGAGCGAGAGAGCGGAAAAAGUCUCCCUCCUUAAAAAAAAAAAAACAACAACAACAACUCUGAUUGAAGCCCUCUUCUACCAGCGCUAUCAAAACUUGAACUGCAAACGGGCUUCCGUUCGCCCUCCUCCUCCUUCCUCUGCUCCGAGCCUGGUGUCUGGGUUUCAAUCCGAAUCUUGGUGUGCUCUUCUCCCGCGCCUCUCUUCCUUGUCCUAAAACACCUCCUCGAUCUUGUCUUUCUCCCCGCCUCACGUUCAACAAAAGGCAGACGGGAAACACGGAAGGAGCCUGGCCCUGGGCAGAGCCUGAGAAACGGUGCUUUAAAAGAGCGGGAGAAGGGGGCCAAAUUUUGAAUCCGAGAGGACGCGCGGAACUUCUGGUGUCCCCCCAAUAUUCCUCCAUCUUUUGCAAAGAGUAUUCACAUAAUUGUAGGCCUGAAUUUUUUUUAAUUAAAAAAAACCCCAACACACACCUCUCCAAAUCUGUGAUGUCUGCAGAGUUUAAAGUGAAGAAGUAGUGAGUGCGGAUUUUAAAGUGGAGGGCCAG